UACGAAGGGGGCUAGCGUUGCUCGGAAUCACUGGGCGUAAAGGGUGCGUAGGCGGGUCUUUAAGUCAGGGGUGAAAUCCUGGAGCUCAACUCCAGAACUGCCUUUGAUACUGAAGAUCUUGAGUUCGGGAGAGGUGAGUGGAACUGCGAGUGUAGAGGUGAAAUUCGUAGAUAUUCGCAAGAACACCAGUGGCUAAGGCGGCUCUCUAGUACGGUACUGACGCUGAGACGCGAAAGCGUGGGGAGCGAACAGG
rnacentral:rRNA from 1 species